AGAGUUUGAUCAUGGCUCAGAAUCAACGCUGGCGGCGUGCCUAACACAUGCAAGUCGAACGCGAAAGUCCCGCAAGGGGCAAGUAGAGUGGCAAACGGGUGAGUAACGCGUGGGCGACCUACCUUCGAGUGGGGGAUAACCUUCCGAAAGGAGGGCUAAUACCGCAUGACAUCCCGUGUUUGGAUACACGGAGAUCAAAGCCGGGGAUCGCAAGACCUGGCGCUUGAAGAGGGGCCCGCGUCCGAUUAGCUAGUUGGUGGGGUAACGGCUCACCAAGGCUCCGAUCGGUAUCCGGCCUGAGAGGGCGGACGGACACACUGGAACUGAGACACGGUCCAGACUCCUACGGGAGGCAGCAGUGGGGAAUUGUUCGCAAUGGGCGCAAGCCUGACGACGCAACGCCGCGUGGAGGAUGAAGACCUUCGGGUCGUAAACUCCUUUCGACCGAGAUGAAUUCCUGCCGGCCUAACACGCUGGCAGGGUGACAGUAUCGAGGGAAGCAGCCCCGGCUAACUCCGUGCCAGCAGCCGCGGUAAUACGGGGGGGGCGAGCGUUGUUCGGAAUUACUGGGCGUAAAGGGUUUGUAGGUGGCUUGCUAAGUCAGACGUGAAAUCCCUCAGCUCAACUGGGGAACUGCGUCUGAGACUGGCAGGCUCGAGGACAGGAGAGGAACGCGGAAUUCCAGGUGUAGCGGUGAAAUGCGUAGAUNUCUGGAGGAACACCGGUGGCGAAGGNGGCGUUCUGGACUGUUUCUGANACUGAAAAACGAAAGCCAGGGGANNANCGGGNUUANAUACCCCGGUAGUCCUGGCCCUAA
rnacentral:rRNA from 1 species